UACAGAGGGGCAAGCGUUGUUCGGAAUUACUGGGCGUAAAGGGCGCGUAGGUGGCCUUCUAAGUUGAACGUGAAAUCCCUGGGCUCAACCCAGGAACUGCGUCCAAGACUGGGAGGCUUGAAUCCGGGAGAGGGAUGCGGAAUUCCAGGUGUAGCGGUGAAAUGCGUAGAUAUCUGGAGGAACACCGGUGGCGAAGGCGGCAUCCUGGACCGGGAUUGACACUGAGGCGCGAAAGCCAGGGGAGCAAACGGG
rnacentral:rRNA from 1 species